AGAAAGAGCUUGAAAUUUGCUUUAUUAGCAUAGUUAUAAUCUUAUUUAAUCUGAAGGAUGUUUCUUAAUUUCAUAUUCAGAAACAUAUCCUAAUUUAUCAUUUAAACACUGAUAUAAAAAUAUGUCUACUUAGUAACCUAUUUUUUCUUAAGGUAUUUACUAUGCAGGAUCUAUUACAACUCAUUAAAAUCAACCCUACUUCCAGUCUCUACAAAUCACUGGUUUCAGGAUCUGAUAAAGAAAAUCAAAAAGGUAGGAGCCGUCAUCUUUGUAGAGAACAGCAACAGUUUUCUAUGUACUUUUUCCUCUAAAAGAAUGAAGCAAAUUUUUAGGGAGAAGAGUAAAAUUUAAUUUGAUUUAAAUUAUUUGAUUUCUGCAGGUCAUUUCCCCUAUAUUUCCAUUUUUGUAAUAACUUUUAGAUAUUCAAUUAAAAAAACUGUAGACAGUAUCAAAGGCCCUACAGACAGGCUGAAAGAUACUGUUUGUAAAAAUACCCACUGUUGGGAAUAUUUCUGCAAAAAAAAAAAAAAAAAA
rnacentral:lncRNA from 1 species